UGCCUAUACAUGCAGUCGAACGCGUUGGCCCAAUUGAUUGAUGGUGCUUGCACCUGAUUGAUUUUGGUCGCCAACGAGUGGCGGACGGGUGAGUAACACGUAGGUAACCUGCCCAGAAGCGGGGGACAACAUUUGGAAACAGAUGCUAAUACCGCAUAACAACGUUGUUCGCAUGAACAACGCUUAAAAGAUGGCUUCUCGCUAUCACUUCUGGAUGGACCUGCGGUGCAUUAGCUUGUUGGUGGGGUAACGGCCUACCAAGGCGAUGAUGCAUAGCCGAGUUGAGAGACUGAUCGGCCACAAUGGGACUGAGACACGGCCCAAACUCCUA
rnacentral:rRNA from 2 species